AGCGGUAACAGCUCAAAUUUGAAAGCUAGCUCUUUUAGGGUUCGCAUUGUAAUUUGUAGAAGAUGCUUCGGGUGUGGCCCCGGUCUAAGUUCCUUGGAACAGGACGUCAUAGAGGGUGAGAAUCCCGUAUGUGACUGGGUGCUUUCGCUCAUGUGAAGCUCUUUCGACGAGUCGAGUUGUUUGGGAAUGCAGCUCAAAAUGGGUGGUAAAUUUCAUCUAAAGCUAAAUAUUGGCCAGAGACCGAUAGCGCACAAGUAGAGUGAUCGAAAGAUGAAAAGCACUUUGGAAAGAGAGUUAAACAGUACGUGAAAUUGUUGAAAGGGAAGCGCUUGCAACCAGACUUGCGCGCUGAUGAUCAUCCGGGCUUCUGCCCGGUGCACUCGUCUGCGCUCAGGCCAGCAUCGGUUUCGGUGGUGGGAUAAAGGCCUUGGGAAUGUAGCUUCUUUCGGGGAGUGUUAUAGCCCUCGGUGCAAUGCCGCCUACCGGGACCGAGGACCGCGCUUCGGCUAGGAUGCUGGCGUAAUGGUUGUAAGCGACCCGUCUUGAAACACGGACCAAGGAGUCUAACAUCUAUGCGAGUGUUUGGGUGUCAAACCCAUACGCGUAAUGAAAGUGAACGGAGGUGAGAACCCUUAAGGGUGCAUCAUCGACCGAUCCUGAUGUCUUCGGAUGGAUUUGAGUAAGAGCAUAGCUGUUGGGACCCGAAAGAUGGUGAACUAUGCGUGAAUAGGGUGAAGCCAGAGGAAACUCUGGUGGAGGCUCGCAGCGGUUCUGACGUGCAAAUCGAUCGUCAA
rnacentral:rRNA from 1 species